GAAAAGGUAAAUUGCAUUAGGUUUGAGUCCUUUAAUGGCAAAUGUUUCUGUUUUCACAUUCUCUGCUACGGUCUGCCAGCUGCUACCAGAUGCAUGGCUGAAGGCUUCUAUAAUAUAAGAUGUUGGAGUUGCACCUGAAUUCAAAUUUGGUUGCCAUGACAACGUUACUGUAUUUCUGCUGACAUCUGUAACUUCAGGUUUUGAGGGGGCACUAGGGAUUAAAUUUGGGUCGGUGGGUCGUGGAGGCUGAACUGGAACUCCAAAUUCUUGGACUUCAAUGUAAGCACUCCAUGUUGCUUCACCACUGGGGGUUGAUGCAAUGCAGGUGUACCGACCUGUGUCACCCAGCUUAGCGUAUCGGAUCUGCAGCACUCCCGUCUCCAGCUGUUUGAUUCUAGAAUCUUGGGUUGAAACAAGGACUCCAUCCUUUCUCCAGAGAAUCGUGGGCAUUGGACUGCCUGUGGCCACACAGCUGAGCACUAAAGUACCAUCCACUGCUACAGUCUGAUUCACAGGACCUUGUCGAAUGACUGGGGGAGGCCGGUCUGCAAUCACAUCAGUAACUUCCAAAUAUGCUUUUGUGAUGAUACUUCCGGCAACAUUUAAAGUCUGGCAGAUAUAAUAACCAACAUCAGACCGCUGGACAUUAGUAAUAGUGAGAUCACCAGUCUGGGAGACGGAAAAGCGGCUAGUUGACUGUGGCGGCUGAUAUGAGAAAAGCAGAUUCUGACUCCCCUCUCUUCUCCAAAAAAUAGCUGGUUGAGGAUUUCCGGUUGCUUCACACUGAAAUGUUACAGUUCGCCCCAAGGCAACAACCUGGUCACGAGGUUUCACAACAAAAUGUGGAGGUU
rnacentral:antisense_RNA from 1 species